CCCUCCAGAGAGGGAGACUCCGCCGCCUCCGUGGGCAGCUGUUCCAGAGCCCUGGCACCCUCUGCGUAAAAUUGUUCCUCAUCUGUGUUUUAGUUUAUGGCUCUUCCAAGGAUGUCACCCCGUUUGUCAGCCCUGGGGACAAUUAUUAGCCCUUGAGCAGUGCUGUCUGUGGCUACAGCCAGGAGGGCUCCUGAGAAGUUCCUGCUGAUCGUGGUCUUGAGAAAGAAAGGGCAGCGCCAGGCAGAGCAAGUGUCUGCAGCUUCCAGAAGCACUGAGCAAAGAAAUGACGCGCCACAGAAUAUUUGAACAGAGGAAAUUUCACACACAACAAAGUCAAAAGGAGUGAAACUUGUCAGUGUGGGACCUAAGCAAAGAGAAUUUUUACAGAGCCUCCUGAAGGAAUAGUUAUUAAAUCUCUGGAGCUUACCGUAAAGGGAAGCACACAUGGAAAGGCAGCUUUGGCAUGCUGAGACUCUGAGUGUGUAAUUGGCCUUGUCCCAGAGCUUUUAUGGCCAAGAGUUUGCUAAAAACUUAAUGAAAUAGCAGUCAUGCCUCCUUUAUUGGAUUUGUUUGUUUGUUUUAGUAACUUACAAUAUUAAUAAACACAAAAUAAUGGUAAUUUUUCAGAUUGUUUUAUGAUUUUUUGUUUGUUCCAUGUCAGGUUUUAGUUUGUUACCUUAAAAUAGUUGAAUUAUAUGUCUGAGUGCUGUAGAGAGUCUAAUUUGUUUUGUGUUAUACCUUUCUUUCCAUCCCAAAUACAGCUGUUCUCUUUCAGAAUAACAUAAAACCCACCAGUAUAAACUAGUAAUCAAUAUUUCCUUCAGGAGGCUCUUCAACAGGUCCUUAUUUUGCUGCUUCAGUACAGAAACUCUCGACACGUGAUAGUCACAGGCGAGGGAGAAGGUGCCGAGUAAUCAUGAGUCAGCUUUUUGGGAGUUAAGCAACUUCCUAUCUCUCAAGUGGCUGCUUCUGUUUCACGAGGUCUCCUGUGCUCUCCGCAGUUUUCAAGUGACUGUGCAGGGUUUCUCUUGGACAUGAGCUCUUCUAAUGAAACGUCUCAAAGCAGGGGAACUUCCCUUGCUGGGAGAUAAUGACCCUUAGUAGAUCGCAUUCUGCAAUCCUGUUUGGCACCAGUGCUUUUCAGGCCAUGGUCACCAAAUUAGUUUUUAGAAAAACAAUCAGAUAUAGGUUCUUUAAUUCUUCAAGUUAGGUGUUUCACUUAAAUACUCUGAAUUUUCUUUUUAAACCGAACUUCUAAAGUUCACUUUAAAUUCCAAAAGAGCUGUUUGGGAGAGCCCGGAGGCUGUUAGGAAGAGAUGUUUGUUUUUGUUCUAAGUAAUUUUAGCAACAGUUGAGAAGCCCACUUGGUUGCCUUCUCAGUAACACUUUACCCUUCCACCUGAUGAAAUUCACUGUAUGUCCUUGUCUUCUGCACUGUCCUUUGUGUCUGUAAAUCGUAAUAUAUGAUCACUUGCAUGUGAAAUAGAUUCAGAGCUUGCCCAAGGAGCCUUUCAGAUGUAGUUAGGAAAAGGUGGUGACAGCUCUGCUCUUUCUGCCAGUAUUAUUGAGCUGAAUAAAGUACCAAGAGCUGAAAA